CCCCUUCUCUGCCCUCCCAAUCCGCCCUGCGCGGAGCAGUACCGGUACCGGUAGAGUCCGAACACACGCCAGACCCUACUGCGCCAGUGGCCCAGCGAAGCGUCUCCUGGUCUCCGGGUCUCCUCUGCCGGGCUCUUCCGCCGGCACCGAUUGCCGCUGUGGAGGAGAGAGAGACCCGACCCUGCUUGCGCGGGGCGGUAGACCUGGCUCUCCAGCCCAGCCCGGUCCGGUUCGGUUCUGCUUCGCCCGGGUUGCGGCAGGGUGUGCAGUCACUGAGCUUAUCCCAAGUCAAUGAAACGCCACAGACCUCGGAUUACAGUUUCUACGGGGAUUUUGGGAAGUGUGGUCCUGGCGUCUUGUUUGGGCACUCGAAGGAUUUCAAAAUAACAUCUCUCAGAGGGCAUGUUUUAAGAACAUUAUGUGCCAGGCAUGGAUCUUUGUCUCUGGUGUCGUGUUACAGACAGGUUAAACAUCACUCUACUUGAUUUCUGCACAUCAAAAGAUAAAAAGUAAAUUGUGUGCUAUUUUGUAUUCUAAUUCACAAUACAGCUGGAGUGUGGUGACUCCUGUGCCCCCACAGGGUUAGAUCUGUACAGUGUUACAGGACUGUAUUUUGGGUGUGAUUCAUGAAAGGCUGUGGUGCAUAUUCCUAGACAGGCACAGAACUUUGUGUUAUAUUUUUUUUUAAAAAAGCUCAUAAAUUAAUGUUAAUACUCUCAUAGCACAACACAAUGUGUACAAGGCUGGGAUCUUUUUCUCAAUAAAAUGUUCUCGAGUAAAAAAUGUUAUACUCUGGGUCCCUGAAGUGUGUCAGUUUGAAAAAUGAAGGCAAAAUGUAUGUAACCUUUGUGAUACAAAACUGUUCAAUCAGUAGUUGUCCUGUCCUGUCUACCUUGAGAGCUCAAAUUCAUCUUACUGGGGGAAGAAAAAAUUCACUGUAGCACCAUGCUUCCCUUCUCUUUCUGCACUUCUUUUUUUUUUAAUUUUCUGCUCUUUACCUACAUAUCCUGCUAUCCAUUAUAAAACUAUCCAU